rnacentral:rRNA from 1 species
GAGCUCGUAGGCGGUUUGUCGCGUCUGCUGUGAAAGCCCGGGGCUUAACCCCGGGUGUGCAGUGGGUACGGGCAGACUAGAGUGCAGUAGGGGAGACUGGAAUUCCUGGUGUAGCGGUGGAAUGCGCAGAUAUCAGGAGGAACACCGAUGGCGAAGGCAGGUCUCUGGGCUGUUACUGACGCUGAGGAGCGAAAGCAUGGGGAGCGAACAGGAUUAGAUACCCUGGUAGUCCAUGCCGUAAACGUUGGGCACUAGGUGUGGGGGACAUUCCACGUUUUCCGCGCCGUAGCUAACGCAUUAAGUGCCCCGCCUGGGGAGUACGGCCGCAAGGCUAAAACUCAAAGGAAUUGACGGGGGCCCGCACAAGCGGCGGAGCAUGCGGAUUAAUUCGAUGCAACGCGAAGAACCUUACCAAGGAUUGACAUAUACCGGAUCGUUCCAGAGAUGGUUCUUCCCCUUUGGGGUCGGUAUACAGGUGGUGCAUGGUUGUCGUCAGCUCGUGUCGUGAGAUGUUGGGUUAAGUCCCGCAACGAGCGCAACCCA